rnacentral:rRNA from 1 species
AUAAAGUGGCGCACGGGUGAGUAACACGUAAGUAAUCUACCCUCGAGUGGGGAAUAAACGUUCGGAAACGGACGCUAAUACCGCAUAACGCAGCGGCACCGCAAGGUGACAGUUGUUAAAGGAGCAAUCCGCUUGAGGAGGAGCUUGCGGCAGAUUAGCUAGUUGGUAGGGUAAUGGCUUACCAAGGCUACGAUCUGUAUCCGGUCUAAGAGGACGGUCGGACACACUGACACUGAAUAACGGGUCAGACUCCUACGGGAGGCAGCAGUCGGGAAUUUGGCAAUGGGCGAAAGCCUGACCCAGCAACGCCGCGUGAAGGAUGAAGUAUUUCGGUAUGUAAACUUCGAAAGAAUAGGAAGAAUAAAUGACGGUACUAUUUAUAAGCUCCGGCUAACUAUGUG